CUCGGAUUUCGAGAAUUCACUUCCUUACAUAUGAAGUUGCGGUGGAAUGUAAUAUACCGGAUCUUAAUAUAAAAGUAAAAAUAAAUAAAAAUAGUAUGAGAUACUAUUUUUAAUACUAUUUUUAUUAGACUUAUAGAAGUAAAAUAUAAGUUGGAAAUGACCUGUACUGAAAUCGGAGCGAAAAUAGAAGAUUUAAAAUUUUUUGUGAGAGACGGGGCAGAUAAAGUAGCAGAAAAUGCAGUGUCAGAAAAUUAUGAAAACUGGAGGAUAUGUCAGAAUUAUUUUUAUGAGGCUAGAUUUAAAGUUUCAUCCCAUUCUGACACCCGGAAGGUGGAGAAUAAAAUCGAAUUGCUAUCUGCUAGAGAUUACAGUUCGGUAGAGCUUUCGGUGACCAAACAGGGUCGAAAUUGAAAGAUUAAAAUUUCUUUGUACUUGUUAAGUAAAACCGAGCCUGACUGUCAAAUUUGAGUGCAAACGGACAUUUAGAAAGGCUCCGGCGAAAAACGUCAGUUUGUAGCUGCUAAACUGAAAGUGUAUGCUACUAUUGGGGUGGUUGACUAUAAGUAGAAGCUACUAGUCUUCUUUUUCUCCCACAGCCGAACACUCCACAACACCACACGUUCAUGGUGGUAGUGAGAGAAACCCUCCCUUUCUCUCUCUAAAUAUCUCUCUCAUCUCUCUAUAUUCCUCGCCUAAAUUCGCGGCGUUGGCGGAGAGCGAGCUUGCGAACGCGUUGGAAGCAACGGUUCGAGUCUUCGUGCGCUCGGUUGAGUGGCGUGCUUUCGACUCGGCAUUCACAAUUUCGGUAAGUGUUUAGGAUUUGGUUAAAUCCCUUAUGCUUAGUAUUCUAAUGAUCCCUAAACUACUAAAUGCAUGUUUCUCCAUGAGAUUGUGGGUUAUUUGGAGUUUAUAUACAUGCUAGGGCUUAGAAAUGGGGGUUUUGCAAUAUGUGAGGGUUUGAUCUAAAUUGAACCUAUAUAAACCUAAUUGCUAGGUAUUCUAACGCGCUGGCGAAGUUGGUUCGGCGAUUCGUCGAGCCUAUGCGAAGAUAUUGAAGAAACGGCAUUUUUAGCUUCGUUUCCGCCUGGAGGGCCGAGGCGACGUCCAAAAAUUAUGAAAAUGGAUUUAUGGCAUCGCGGCAUCAAGCUGUAGACCUAUAAUUUCCGGAUUGCGAAUUGGUGGCCGUUUGGUGGCCGAGUCCGAGUUCGAGCCAAACCGGGCGGCGGGUGCCGCGGGAGGCCGAUUGCAAGUGACGACAAGCAAUCGGAACGCGAUAAUAGGUGGGGGGUGUCAUUCCGAAGCAACUGAGCUUCUUUCUAUGUCCGAGUUAAAUUGUUGAUCAUGUUUCAUGAAUUACUCUUAUGCAUUAUAGGAUAACUAUUAUAGAUGUAUCUCUUUUUAUGCACUUGUAUGUAUACUUGUGUUACUUGCUCUUAUUGUAUUGCACUCUUUGUGCUUCUCUCCUUGUUGGAUCAUGUAUGUAUUGAAUUAUUUCUGGGCAAAUUCUUUGUACAUGAUCCUGUGCUGAGCCUUGGGCGGACAGGAGGUGCUGUCCGUUCGGCGUCUGUUCGACGCGCCCGAACUGGACCAAAUUGGUAGCGGCCUCGGGGCGUGACAGAGUAAAUGGUAUCAGAGCAAGCUGAGAGCAAGUAAAGAGAGAGUCUAGGAUUGACCUAGGAGACCCUAGGAUGGUAAACCUUAGGGCUAUAGGCGCGUGAGUGAGACGUGAAUCUAUACGGGUGGCGGAAGUUGAUCGAUUGGGUCGAAGUUGAUUGUAUGUCGCUAGUCGUGGCUAGAGAUGGAUUCAAGUGGUAUGAGUUCUUGGCUCGAAGUAGUAGUGUUGGGCGGCCGACAACACGACGCUAAGAGUUUAGAAUAAGUACACUUGUGUGCUUCCGCCUGAUUUUAAGUGUUGAGUCGCGUUGUCUAGUAGUUGCGACGAGGUUAACGGGUUAAGUUAAUUAACCAGGUUGUUGCGUUGCAGGACCUAAUGUCCCCAAGAUGCUACACGCGCAGAUCAGUUCUGGCACCGCCUUCCGAGGUGCCAGAGCAGGCUGGACCUCUCGAGGUGCCACAGUUAGCUGGGCCUAGCGAGGUGCAGGAGUUACUGGCGCAAAUGACCGCACUAGCUGGUUAGUUUGGGCGGCUCCAGGAGUUAAUGGAGCGGCAAAUGGCAGCGGUGGCUGCGAUGGCGACUGGAUGUCGUGACCCGCCCGCACCCUCGGUACGCGCGCCUGAAGUGGCUGAGGGUGAGGGCAUAGCGGCGGUUCCGGUGGCGGCACAUCCCCCGCCGGCAAGUGUUCCUCCGGCGGCUUCGGGUUCGGCGACACUCGAUGCGGCGGCCGAGGAGAUGGAGCGAGAGCAUUCGUUGACGGCUCUUAUCAGAUUCAAGAAGUUCAACCCACCAAUCAUUGAAGGGGAUAAAGUGGAGCCGUCGAUGGUGGAGUCAUGGAUUGACUCAAUGGAGACACUUUUUGAGGAUCUCUAUACCUCGGAGAAAGACAAGGUGUAUCUCGCCACCCAUUGCCUUGGGAAAGCGGCGAAGGUGUGGUGGAAACGGGUGAAGCGAGAUCGGCCUUCUGACCUUCCACCUAUGUUAUGGGAGGAGUUUAAGAGGGCAAUGUUCGCCAACUAUUUUCCCGACACGGUGAAGCGAAAACUGCAGGAGAAGUUUCGCAAGUCGAGGCAGGGGGAUCGCUCGGUAGCGGACUACGAGCAAGAGUUCUCCCACAUCAUAGAUUGUGUCCCGGAGGUUGUUCGAGAUGACCGGGACCGGGCCGACUGGUUCUUGCGAGGACUUCGGCCGGGGAUUUAUAAGGCCGUGCAAAUAUUCAAGCUCACUACCUUUGCUGAGGUUUUUGAUCGAGCAUUGUGGGCGGAGCAUGGCGAUGCCCACGUGCGAGAAGAACGAGAGGCGUCCGAGAAGGACAAGGCGAGGAAACGGCCUGGCAAUAGCUCGGGGGGACAGUCAAGUUCCAAGAAGCCCCUGAAGUACCCAAAGAGACAGUCCGAGAGCUUGGGACCUAUGCGAUGUGUGAUCUGUGGUGGGGAGCAUCGCGCAGGAAACUAUGAGCAUAGGGCGGGAUGGUGCUUCAGGUGUGGUCAGGCGGGGCAUAUUAGCCGUCAAUGCCCAGAGGGAUCGCCGCCUGCCCCGACUGCAGCAUCCGCCCCGGCGGCCCUGAGGCGAUUUGGUGGAGUUUCACUUGCUGCCAUGUCUGCAGGACAUGCGAUGGCGCCGCGUCAGCUUGAGGUGACCCGGUCGGCUUCUAGUGGUCGAGUGUUUGCCGCUCAAGCGGAGCGACCUGCUGGGGUCGAGGAGCGUGACAUCGUGCCAGGUAUGAUUUAAUUAAAGUAAUCAUACGCUUCUGCAUGAUGUAGAUUUCAGAAAUUGCAUGCAUUUACCUUGUGAUCAUUUACUACUACUUAUACAUAAGUAUAGUAGGGACCAGGACAUGGGUUAGUGUAGCUACCCAAGCGUGCAUAAAUCGUGGUAGUGCGUCGCCUACCUAAAUGGAUAGGUGAUUGGUCGGUGCCGGCGGGUUGCUGGUGGUGAACUAAGAACAAAACUCGUGGUAGAGCGAUUGGUUAGUGGCUGAGCAUAGGCACAUGGAUCUAGUGGUACCUUGAAAUGAGGUGGGUGAGUCGUGCUCGUGUAGCCGGUGAGCAUAGGCAGGGUUGCCUAAUGCCGGACUUAGUACGGCGUAUAGAGCGCUCGAGUAGGGUUACUCGUGGAGUGCGGUGUUGACUCAGCCGGGGGAGUGCGUAGGCAAUAGCACUGCAGCAUUGCUAGGUGUGAAGCGUGCCUGGGAUCACUCGUGGGGCUGAUGGCUCGCACUGGGUGCUUAGGAGCCGAUAGUGACGUGUGUUGCUCGGGUGAGCGUGUCGCGUGAGACGACGGUUGCGGGUAUUGCUUGAGGACGAUCCGUGCCUGGACCACCCGUGGACUGUGGAGCCUGUGUCCAUGUGGACAGGCGUAGUCAGCUGAGAGUGACAGCGGCCCGGGAUAGGGCAGAGAUUUGGUCGGGACGGUAGCCCGAGCUUAGACCCGGGAGCCUGGAAUGCCACGUAUUAGAUCGUGUGAUCGCGGAUGCACUGAGAGUGCAAUUGUGACCCAACCCGAGGACUUGACGUGGUUUGGGGUCUUAGUUGCUCCUGGUUGGAGUGUGUGCAAAUUCCCAAGUGAGAAUCUCGCCCAGUGCUGAUUGGGUCUACGCUGGCGAGCGAGAGACGCUAAGUGUUGAGACGGGUUUAGGCGAUAAGCCUACGUAGGAUUGGUGACCAUUGGUUUACCUGUGGAAACCGAGGUAAUCGGUUUGGUCGGUAACUCAGUUAGUGAGUUGGCAUGGAUUCGUGAACAGAGUGUUCGUGUGAAUUCGUUGCAAGAACGAAUUGAUAUUAGCCGCGGCAAUGGAAAGAGAAAAUAAAGUGGUCUCUUAGAGACACUGGAAGGCCGGAUAGCCACGCGAGAUUGCGGAUACUGCUCUUUUGAGGAUCGAGAUUAGGGAUGUGCAGAAGUGUGCCAUCUCGUAGUAGAGCAAAGAUCCAAUUGUGAUGGUAGCACUUGCGAUGGGUCGAUACACCAAUGAUAUUGCUUCUAGGCAAUGCCGGUGAUCGAAUCGAAGUGUACUCCCUGGAUUCGAUAGCAAGUGGUGUUGGAGCGUGAAGAGUCGUUGAGCGUCGACUUACGCUGCCACCGAGACUUGCGGAGCCGUAAUGCACUUUUGGUGUUGCGCUUAGCAAACGUGAGUGAGACUGGCCUCACAUCCUCCAUAGUGGGCCUUUGGAUAGUUCCGAUGAGAGAAAGGCCACUCCGGAGUGAAAAAAUGCAUUGUUACCCUCAGAUGCUCGAUAAAUCGAAUUGAGAUGGGGUUUGAGUUUUGAGGACGAAACUCUUUUUAAGGAGGGGAGGAUGUAAGGUGCCAAACUUCUGUAGUUAUGAAGUUGCGGUGGAAUGUAAUAUACCGGAUCUUAAUAUAAAAGUGAAAAUAAAUAAAAAUAGUAUGAGAUACUAUUUUCAUUGGACUUAUAGAAGUAAAGUAUAAGUUGGAAAUGACCUGUGCUGAAAUCGGAGCGAAAACAGAAGAUUUAGAAUUUUCUGUGAGAGACGGGGCAGAUAAAUUAGCAGAAAAUGCAGUGUCAGAAAAUUAUGAAAACUGGAGGAUAUUUCAGAAUUAUUUUUAUGAGGCUAGAUUUAAAGUUUCAUCCCAUUCUGACACCUGGAAGGUGGAGAAUAAAAUCGAAUUGCUAUCUGCUAGAGAUUACAGUUCGGUAGAGCUUUCGGUGACCAAACAGGGUCGAAAUUGAAAGAUUAAAAUUUCUUUGUACUUGUUAAGUAAAACCGAGCCUGACUGUCAAAUUUGAGUGCAAACGGACAUUUAGAAAGGCUCCGGCGAAAAACGUCAGUUUGUAGCUGCUAAACUGAAAGUG
rnacentral:lncRNA from 1 species